CCGGGAGGCGGCGCCUUUGCGCCCGCGGCCCGGCCGCCGCCGCUGCCCAUCCCGGGGCUGCGGGAGGGGGAGAGGGGGGAACGCGGGCACCGGGGACGCUUCCUUCUAGGUUUGGGAAAGGGGCGGGGAGCGGAGGCGAUGAGGUCAUUGUCGCGGUGAUCGGUGGGUCCUCGCGCACCUCCGCGGGGUCCCGGCACCUAGUUGGAGAGCGGAUGGCUACAGCCGGGAGCGAGUGGGGGACCCCCCGGGGGUCCCUCCGAGGGACCCUCCGAGCGGGUGCCGGGCUUCAGCUCCGAGCCGGGGACAGGGCCCGGGGGAGGGGGGGUCAGCCGGCUCUAAUCCCGACGUGCCCUUCGUCCCCGCAUCCUGGAAGCGGCUGGCAGCGCCGAUCCGGCUCGGCAGCUGCAGGUUCUGGAAAUCGGCUCUAG
rnacentral:lncRNA from 1 species